GCCAGAAUAAAUAUAAAUUGUAUUGAGCGAGGGUUAUAUUUUCGUUUUAAAAGCAUACCGUGGGAGUUUAUGUUCAAAAUUUUGGUUUUAAUGACCAGAGCAUUCAAGGAGAAGGUAUGUAGUUUCAAUUUAUUUAUUUAAAAGUCAAAGUAAAUGCUCGUAGGCGCAUUUUUUCUUCGAUAUUGUUCAUGGAGAACCGAACCCAGUAGCUAUCGCCUAUCCGUACAAUAGCACAGACAGUAGUUUUAAUAUAGUUUUAAGUUUCGAUGUUUUCUGUCUAUCUUUAGCAGUGAUUGAAUAACAAAUCAUAAAUGGACAUCCUUAUUGCGCCUCAAUAUCCUAAACUAUUAAUAAGAGUGUCUAAAUGUUUGGCUCGCGAACAGUAACUUUAGUCAUUUAAUUAAGCCAUUAAGGCUAUAUUUAGUCUUGUAAACCAGAGCAGCGUUAACACAUGUCCAGUAUAUUAUUUAAAGAUGUGUGGCCUUGGUGUUAUUUAAAGAUGUGUGAUUUUCUAUCCUUUGGUUUAGAUGUGGCUAAGUCUCUGUUGGCAAAUUUUAUGCUGGAGUAUAUUCGCACUCACAUUGCCAUUGGAAGGUGAUGGGAAUGGCUUUGAUCAUCGUCAAAAUGUUGGCUCCAACACCAGGGCACUUUGUGUAAACAGAAAAUUGAUCAAAAUGUAUUUUUAUUAAAACAAGAAUUCUGAUUUACAAGAUUGUAUGGAUAUAUUACAUCUAAUGCAAUGGGUCGGGAUGGAAUCUGCCAUGUAUUAUUAAAUUACUGUAUUUGUUUCCACUCUACCAUAUGGAUGUGAGGAACAUUGUAUGUCAUGAUAUUACAAACCUGUAUAUGUACAGCAACCUAACAAGUUAUUGGACAAAAAUGAUGGCCAACAAUAGACACUAUGAGCACUGAAUGAAUACGAUAAUUUACGUAUUGGGCAGAAAACAAUGGUAACGCUUGUUUACCAAAUGAACACAAACAAAAGGCUGUCAUUACUUGCAACAAACUUAAACAUACCAUGUUAAAAGAAGUCUAUCUACCUCCUCCGCAGGCCAUACAGCUCGUAAUGAGUAUGCCCGUUCACAGGUUGAAAUUUGAGACUAAGGCUUUUUUGUUUCCCACCACUUUUCUUGGAAGGCCUGCACAGGAGGUAGGAGUAGGGCAUCUAUUUGUUCUUCCUAAUUACUUUCUUCCUAAUUAUGUUCUGCCCAAUUAUUUUCAUAAGUGGAGACUAAUUAAGUGAUUUUUAUUGACAUUGUAUAAAUAUAAAAUUCCGAAGUACACUUUACAG